AGCCCUGUAUUUUAGCGGUCAAGAAUCCGAGCCUCUGGAGCUUGGGACCCAGGUUCGAAUCCUGGCAGGGCUA
rnacentral:tRNA from 1 species